GGGGAUUCAGGUUUUUGGGUUCGAGUCUAAAAGCUUGGAUAUUAGCCUCCGAGCUUCAGCUCCAAUCUCAAAAAAAUAAAAAUAAAUAAAAAAAGAUCUCGCCAAGGCAAGGCAAUGUGGAUUGCUAGUUUUGCUUUAUACUUGUUUGCUUAUAUUUUAAGCAGGAAAUUGAUGAUUGGAUUGCUCUAUUUCGAAGUACUGUAGAGGACAAUGUGUU
rnacentral:lncRNA from 1 species